UGUGCACCAAGCCAAUGAGUGGGUCCAUGUUCUUUGUCCUAGGACUCGUUCCAAACUCAGCAUCCUUUCUUCCUGGCCGCACAGUUGCCUCUCUUGGACCAUCUGCAUUUUCUGGCUGUCUGGGUGCUGGGGAAGAUCUCUUCUGGCUGGAAACUGCAGCAACCUGGUUUAACCAAAGCUGAUCUGCUCACUUCUUUUUUUUUUUUUAUAGAUGUACAGAAACUAGAGUCUCCCCAAGGAACUGGGAAUGCAGAAAGAGCUAAAUUACAGUUUCUAAAUCUUUGAUGAGAGUUGAGCUGCUUUCCAGGCUCUGUGGAAUCUAAUAGAUGACUGACCAGUCACCCCAUCAAGAAUCCCAAUGCAGCCAUUUCACCAUCCAAGACCACCCCAUGGACACCAGCCUUGAGCAGACCCACUUUUGUGUACAUCAACUGCUUGUAUUUGGAAGAUGGAAUGUAGGUCAGAGAGAGAGAAGGCCCCGAAAUUCUGCCUCCCAGUGCAGGGGAAACCCCAGAAUAGGAACGCACAGAGGCCCCAUGGUGGGCACAGUGACAGAGGGCUUGGAGGUUCUGAGACAGUCCACAGGAGUUCCAGUGUGGGUCAAGAGCUGCUGGAGCACUGCAGUCUGCUUUCUGCCACAAACUACACGAGCACUUCACAUCUGUUUCCAAUUCUAAAGUGAGGGAUGAGUCACGUGUAUGGGUACAGCAAUCAGAAUCUCACCCUGCAUUGGAAAACGACUUUAUUUUUGGCAAAACUGCCAAAUCAUGUAUGCUCCAAAAGCCUUAUAUGUAAACCCAGAACAUCUUUGCCUACACAGUCCUCACAAGAAUGGGACAAAGAUACGUACAUUCUAGAAAGCACUUUUCCUGGGAGAAAGGAAUGGCGCCCAGUCAGGACUGCUCCUAAACUGCAAAUGAAAUAUUGACAUCCCUGAAAAUACGUAUGGGGAUCCUGGGAACUUCCAGCAUGCCACCUGCAUAGAACAGCAUCUGUGUUAAGGUUACUCACGUGCAAAGCAUCUGGAAAUAUCUCUCAAUAACUGAGUGUUCUAUAAUUGUGCACCCAACGUGCUGCUCUGAGGGGUAGGAACUCAGCAGGUGACUGAAAUGCUGUACAGGCCAGACUGAAGGCGAGGGUGAAACUGGUUGUGUACGUCACUGAGAUGAGGGACUCACAUAAUGAAUGAGUAAGAGAAAAUUCAGUCCCCAGUGAGUAACAUUGCCCUCCAAGCUGUGUUUGCUUUGCUGUUAUGAUGGAUGGUUGGUUUUUAUUUAAACACAGAGGUAUUUCUCUGAGCUGACAAAGAACCACUGGAUGCCUGUGGUCCAUCAGAGACCGACCCUGUCAGGUUUGACCACCAGACAUGCAUGCUUGUACCCAUGACCCACUCAUCACAUGGGAAACUCCCGAGACUUCAUGCCAAAGUGAGGAGAUAGCUUCUGCUUCAGGUAGAGCCUGGUCCAUUCCCUUUCUCUCCCUUUGCACAUCUCCAUGUGCACUAAACUCCUGAGCCCUGUAAGGUCCUCCCACAGAACCCACCUAGGAAGGAAAUGUGAGAAGGUGCCUUACUGAUGUCACUUUUUUGAGUUUUGAGUUGCCUGGUGUCCUGGCUGCCUCUCUGUCCUCCUAGCUGCCUGCUCACCAGCCUGAGCAUGGCACACAUGCAGUGCACACACUUCCCUGUGCUGCCACCACCACGCCCAGCCAGGCACCUAAGGCCCAGCCUGAAACCCUCUGCCAAGUCCUGAGAAUUCAUUCUGAUUCUUAGUCUUUCAUGGUGUCAGUUCCUUUGAAUUUCUCAGAACCAACAGAAUGUUUCUGCCUUCUUUAAGAAUGAGACUUUCUUGCAGCAGAACUGCCGUAAAAAAUUCUACUAGUCUUUCAAUCUGAGUUCAGAAGUUACCUGUUUUCUUCAUGGAAGAUGCUCUGAUCUCCACAGUGGAAAUUCUCUACAUGUCUUUUUUUUUUUUUUUUUUUUUUUUUUUUUUUGUCUUUUUCAUUUUUUAUCGGUACCGGGGAUCGAACUCACGACCGCCUUCUUGCAAGGCAGGUGCUUAUGCCGCUGAGCUAAACCCCCAGCCCGAAAUUCUCUACAUGUCUACUUGGACACUCUCUCUGUUAUCAACAUCAUCACCACCACCAUGGCCAUCGCCACUGCCAGCCUCAGCCUCUGUGGGUACCACAAUUACUACAUUUACAUCCAACGCCAUCUGGUGCAUCCCAGCACCUGUCUAGAAGAAAAGCUGUUGAUGCUGAGCAAGGAAAUGACCAAGGUCUUCCUGUGCAUUUCCCUCACUCAGUUCUGCAAGUGACAAUGUGAGAUGAAAAUCAGAGCACACCUAAAAGCCGGAAGUUGAUUAUUUUUCCUCACUUGCUGGUUUAUUCUGUAUCUCCUCAACAUCCUGCUUCAUAGAGAGGAAAAAGGAAACUCGGGUUGCACUUUAUGAAAGGAGAGUUGAGAGGUAGCUCAGGAGACCCAAGAAAAGGAGAAACUACUACUUUUCUUGGUUUCUACUUCAUGAUUCAUUUUAACCUCCAUUUCUCCAAGAGACACCGGGACAAUGCAAAACUAUCUAUGUGUUACUGUGCAGACUGAAAUUUGUCUUCUGAUUCCUAGAUGAAGCUCAUUGAGGACCGGUCAAUCAGUAAGCAACAUGGAGGUCAUCCUCCUCCACGCCUGCUGGGUCACUGUUCUAAGCUCACCCACUGGGCAGGCGCUGCCUCUCGAAUCCUCUAGAACAUGUACACACCUUGCCAUCAGGAGGGUGAGAGCCUUGGAGAUGUAGGGGAGAGCCAAUGGGUGGCCACUGCCCCAGGAAUUUCACUCUCUGUGUGACACACAGAGUUCACUUCCUGAAUAAUCAGAUACCUGGAAACUGCAAAACACUCAAGUGCCACACACAGGUUUUUGAAGGCAGCCACGUCCAUAUUUGUCUGAGCAACCAAGGGCAACAAUAGAUCCCUGAGCACAGUUACUAUGCACUUCCUGCAAUUGCACGUUAAAAGCCAAACACGCUGUGCACAGACACAAUCCAAGGAUACGGGGGCUUUUCCAGUCCUGAGCACACCUAAGCUCAGACACAAGCCAGUGAGUCACUGUGCACCAGAGGGGAGCUGCCAGAGCCGACAGGGUCCCUCAGAGCCUGCCAGUUCCACAGGAGGCCCCUUGACCGUGGCCUGCUGGCGCUGUUCUGUGACUGGCAAAUGGCAGGCCCCAGGCAGCCUUUCAUGCAGCUCAUUCCAAGUCCUCGACUUUAUUAUACCCUGCAGUCUCUAAAUUGCUGUGGAAGAUUUUCUGAGGACUCGUCUGUGGGAACAUUGUGGGCUCUGGGGUGCGAGCACUCCUUUGCUCAAAUAAGGAAUGGGAAGUGGGCUCAGGCAGGAGGACUUACAUAUUUUCUUCUGAAAUGACAUAUUUGAGCCUUAAAGCAAUGUAUUCCGUCCUCCUGCUAGCAAAGAAUAAUGUUGCCUCCCCAGCAGCUCUGCCUUUGAGUCGUGCACGGCAGAAAGGAUCUUCCAUUUGUGGGCAGCCGCAGCCCCCGGAGCUGUGGGAACACUGCCAGCAGCCCUGAAAAGCCUCCGCACUGACUGGGAUCUGGCUGAUUAGUGACACUUUGGAGAGUCGGGUUGUCACUGAAGGGAAAAGCAGGGGAACACGGUGGGCGCUGCAGCCUGGAAAGAGGCAGUGGGCGGGGGCUGGCCCCUGCUGCCCCGCUCCCGCAGGAACACCGCUCUGCAGCGUUUUCUAGCACAGAGCUGGGUGUGGGGCCUGGUGGCACACGGCCUCCUUGCCCUCCUUGCCAUGCACACAUCAUCUGCAAAGGGCAGUUCAAUGCCACGCCAAAACACUACUUCUUAGAGCUGGGGGAAGCGUGCCACAUCUCAGUGGCCUUCGGGUUAUGUGUGCCCAUCUUCAAAUAGCCCUCUAUUUCACAAACAUUAGACAUUUCCAGUGGCAAAUACCCCUAACGUAUGAUGCAAAUAUUUUAAAAAAUCUCAGUAAUGAGUUUGAGUCUAAGAACUUGGGUAGUAAGAAAUGAGAAUUUAAAAAACAUUAAUGACAUUGAAAUACCAGUUGAGUAAACUGACCAGAGCAUAUGAUUGGUUAUGAAAACCCUUGAGGAAGUAAAGGACACUAGGAUUGCAGGGUCGGCUCAGCAAGCAGAGCUGAAUGCUCUGAGGGUCACAGUCACCAUCCAGUGCCAGCACAGGGCGCCCAGGUAGGGAGCUGGUUUUCUACACCCACAGCUUCUUUACAUGAAUGUACCUGCUGCCCUGAUUUCUAUGGCUAUCCCAACCCCCGCCAACCCCAGUCUUAAAUUUAGAAGCAAGAACUUGUGUCACCUGCAUCAGCAAGAGCACCAUCUGAGGCAGGCGGGUCCCGGGCUGUCUGCUCUACUCCCUGCAGGGAGAGAAUGAACGUCUUGCUGCUGCCCUGCUGGCCAGGAAAAGCCCAGGUCCUGGAGUCCACGCUGGGUGGGGAGCAGGCCCAGGAGCUUGGAGACAUUGGGCCACAGAAAACAUGGCUGACAGCCGCUUUCCUUCCUCGCCCUGUUCACUGCUCCUCUUGUCUGGUCAGCAAAUCCAUCUGCCUCUUCCUAAUGAUGACUUCACUUCACACGGUCCCCUGUUCAGCUCUAUCUGUGACACAGACAGUUCCCUGGGUCCUGAGGCUCCUUCCUGCACAUGUUCAAGGGCUGCAUUUCAGUUCUGGACAACGUUGGGCCAGUGGCUGGGCCACCACCGGCCAGUGCUCGCCACCAUGUGAGGAGCACACAGGUGAGUCAUCGGGGCAUACAGCUGUUGGGCUUUAGAGGUAGGGACAUGACAGCAUUGUAGGGUAGCUUCAUGACAGUCACGAGGUGACAGGUGAUACAGUUGGGCACAAUGUGACAGGUCUUGCAGAAGUAGCGUAAUGAGUGACAGUUUGUGGAGUAGCCCCAUUAUAACAUUCAGGAGAUAUAACUCGAGACAGUUCAGGGAUGGCUGGAUGACACUGUGCCAGGGUAGCCCCAUGACAUAGUACUUAUGUGACAUAUAACCCAGAUCUCUGGUGGCCAUAGAAUACAGUCCCAAAUCAGCAAGAUGACACAGUUCUGGGGUUUGUCUGACACAAGAGAUGACCAUGUGGAAUGCCACUGAUCCAUGAAGUCUAAGGAAUAUCUGCUUCAGAAUUCCCAGGGAAGAUCCUUCCCUCCAUAUAGAGAGGGUGGGGACCACCCUCCCUCAGUCACCUCUGAAUCACUGACCUGAGCCAUCUCUCAUCACACAGGAGGAAGGCUCAGGAAAAGUGUGCCCCUGCCUGCCUACCUGAGACGCCUUCUUCAGCGACAUAACAAUUCAUACCUGGUGUUUGUGUGUGCCAUUCUGUUACAGUAGGAAGCUGAGCAGUUCCCUGUAGGAAUUAAGUUUAUUUUGCCAAGCAAAGAUAAUGUUUCUUAGAAAUGUAUCAAGUUUAGGACAAAAAUUAAUUUGAAGCUUCAUAUAGAAUAAUGAGAAUAAUAUCCUCGACUUCUAUAAAUAUGAAUCAGGCCGGCUCCUGGCCUGAGGUAAAGACAUUGAGACAUAUUGCAGGACCAAGUUUUAUGCUCAGACUUCAUGGCAAGCAGACUGGGAGAGCAGGAGGGAGAGUCCAUGACCUCCCAUGGCUACCAUCCUGCAAGUCAGAGAGUUAACCACACACAAAUGAAUGCACAGAUGCACCACACAAAUGUCUGCUGUGUCACACACAACGCCGAUGUCAGCACCUCAUUAGCAACUUUGGAGUGUGCCAAAAUAAAGUGAUUAAUUAAG